rnacentral:lncRNA from 8 species
AGUGAAGUCAGGGGAGGUGCAUCUGUGACAGCCAAAAGUCGGACACAAAUGUAGUUUUCCAACAGCAAAGCUCAGAUCAACAUGAUCUGAGCUUUGCUUUAUAAUGUUGACCCCCAAAUCGCACCCUCACAAACUGAAAUCAUAUGUGCGUUGAAGGAAUUAUACAACAAACAAAGUGAUGAGGCUGUUUGUAUGUGGCUGCCGCUGCUAUGCAAGUGGACUGUGUAUGCAGGUGUUCAGGAGUGUGUUAAUUCCGCCGAUUCUGUUGAAAAAUGUUUCUUAAACGGAAGGAAACAAAAUGGGGAUAGACCUGCCUGAAUUUGUCCAAUAGAAACUCUUGUUUUGUUUGCAAAACAUAACGUUUUUCAACUGUUUGGACUAAUGAUUACAACCUAGAUCAGCUAGGUGAACACUUGACAAAACUGCUCCGCUUGAAUGAGCCCAGGUCUAUGUUGCCAAGUAGAAUCCAAAAAGGUGUGUUCCUUUUGCGAGAGACGUGCUCGCUUCAGCCUACAUUGAUUGGCAAGUUCACCAGCAAAAAAAAUAAAUGACAGUAGGCCUGAUGAUCGGUAAACGGUUGUGGUGUUCGAAUGAAACUGAUUUGAGCCCGUGUACAGUAGCUAUUAUAAGAAAGCGAAUAGGCUACUUUAAGUUACAAUAUGGAAGUUUACAAAUACCCCGUUUUCUUCGAGGUUCACAGUCUGGAUCCAGCACAGAAAGAGAAGAUAGAAAAGUACUUUCAGGUUCGCCGUAAAUCUGGUGGUGGAGACUGCGGACCGAUAGACAAAGUUGGUGACAACGUUUACAAGAUCGCAUUUAUUGACGAAGCAGUCCAGGAGAGGGUACUUCAGAAAGCUCAUCAUGUGUUGGAGAUGCCUGGAGGACCUCUCUCCCUCACUCUGAGAGACAGCCUGGAGCCUCCACCCACAACAACCUCACCAGUCAGCAGUCAGUCGGUGAGGCCAGACAAUACAGACACACCUAUACAGUACAUGCAGAGUCACAUAACCUGUUAGAUAAGACUUUUAUGUUCCAUAACAUGAGGUCCAAAUACACAGACGUCAGUGCACUGUUGUUGUAUUUACAUGCCAGUAAACACAAAGUUUAGUCAAAUAUCAUGCAUCUGUCUAUCAGGUAAUGACUUUAUUAUCCCUUCAAAUGAGGUCAAAAUGGUCUGCACUGAUUUUAUUGCAUGUUUGAUUUUACUUGAUGUUAUAAUAAGUAAAACAUGAAUUGACAAUAUGAGGAAUGACAUUAAAAUAAAUUCUAACGAAAAAAAAUCGGUACUAAACUAACAAAAUGGACAAAUGUCAAACCAGCUACUAGAUUUAUCAGAUAAUCCAGACGCAACUGUAUGGUCGACAUACAAUGAUAAACGUAGAUAAAGCCAAACAUAAUAAUCAUUAACCUCUAUGGGGCAGGCGGGAUGAAUUCGUCCCACCUACGUAACAGCCAGUUGAAUCCUGUGGCGCGAUUUUCAAAUACCUUAAAAAUCCUAUUACUUCAAUUUCUCAAACAUAUGACUAUUUUACAGCUAUUUAAAGACAAGACUCUCGUUAAUCUAACCACACUGUCCGAUUUCAAAAAGGCUUUACAACGAAAGCAAAACAUUAGAUUAUGUCAGCAGAGUACCAAGCCAGAAAUAAUCAGACACCCAUUUUUCAAGCUAGCAUAUAAUGUCACAAAAACCCAGAAGACAGCUAAAUGCAGCACUAACCGUUGAUCUUCAUCAGAUGACACACCUAGGACAUUAUGUUAUACAAUACAUGCAUGUUUUGUUCAAUCAAGUUCAUAUUUAUAUCAAAAAACAGCUUUUUACAUUAGCAUGUGACGUUCAGAACUAGCACUUCCGGGGAAUUUGCUAACAAUUUACUAAAUUACUCACGAUAAACGUUCACAAAAAGCAUAACAAUUAUUUUAAGAAUUAUAGAUACAUUACUCCUCUAUGCACUCGAUAUGUCCGAUUUUAAAAUCGCUUUUCGGUGAAAGCACAUUUUGCAAUAUUCUAAGUACAUAGCCCGGCAUCACAGGGCUAGCUAUUUAGACACCCAGCAGGUUUAGCACUCACCAAUAUCAGAUUUACUAUAAGAAAAAUGGUCUUACCUUUCCUGUUCUUCGUCAGAAUGCACUCCCAGGACUUCUACUUCAAUAACAAAUGUAGGUUUGGUCCAAAAUAAUCCAUAGUUAUGUUCCAACAGCGACGUUUAGUUCGUGCGUUCUAGACACUAUCCCAAUGCUAAAUAUCGGUCGCGCGCACGGCGCAUUUCGUGACAAAAGAUUUCUAAAUAUUUCAUUACCGUACUUCGAAGCAUGUCAACAGCUGUUUAAAAUACAUUUUUAUGCCAUUUUUCUCGUAAAAAAGCGAUAAUAUUUCGACCGGGAAUCUGCAAUUAGAUAAACAGCUGAAGGAAAAUAUAUCACUGGGUCGAAUCGGGCACGCGCCUAAUUCCAUUGUCCUCUGAUGGGCCACUUGGCAAAGGCGAUUAUGUGUUUCAGCCUGAGGCUGCCUCGUCAUCGUUCAGGUUUUUCCCGGGCUCUGAGAGCCUAUUGGAGCCGUAGGAAAUGUCACGUUACAGUUAAGAUCCUGACUCUUCAAUAAACAGAAGCAAGAACAACAACACCUUGUCAGACAGGCCACUNNNNNNNNNNNNNNNNNNNNUAAAGUAGCCACAUAGCCAUUUUCCGACCAACCACAUGCAUCACAAAUAACCAAAAAACAGCUAAAUGCAGCACUAACCUUUGACAAUCUUCAUCAGAUGACACACCUAGGACAUCAUGUUACACUAUACAUGCAUUCUUUUGUUCAAUAAAGUUCAUAUUUAUAUAUAAAAAACAGCAUUUUACAUCGGUGCGUAACGUUGACUAACUAUUUUCCCUCAAAUGCAUCCGAUGAAACAGAGCUACAAUUUACUAAAUUACUAUUCGAAAACAUUUUUAAAAUGUAAUAUUGUCAUUCUAAGAUUUAUAGAUGAAUAUCUCUUGAAAGCACCUGUAAUGCCAGAUUUAAAAUUAACUUUACUGGGUAAUCAUACUUUGCGAUGAAAGGGGAUGCGAUACUCUGAAAAAUAGGCUAACGUUACAGGUCAGCGCCAUCUUGGAACAAUCGCAUAUCACAUCUAGUCUUCUAUACUAUUGUCAAUAAUCCCUUACCUUUGGUUGUCUUCAUCAGAAAGCACUUCCAGGAAUCCCAGGUCCACAACAAAUGUAUUUUCGUUCGAAAAAAUUACUCCUUUAUGUUCCAAGAGCUUGUUCUUGUUAGCGCGUCUGAAGGCUGAUCCAAAUGCUCCGUCGGCCGCCGGACAGCCAUUUCGAGAACAUGCAUUUUUUUCCCAUUUAGGUUCGUUCAAACAUGUCAAACGUUGUAUAACAUAAAUCUUCAGGGCGUUUUUCAACAAGAGAGCCAAUAAGAUUCAAGGAGGAUGAUUGCAUUGUCUUUCAAAACGUUUCGAAAGGGGAGGGAAGCCAGGGCCGCCGGCGUCAUAAUGGUGAUGGCCCUCCUCAUGUGACCAAUUUCAACAGCGUCUCAUUCAUUCAGUUUUCACAGUAGGAGACUCAAUCCACUUUGUAAAGACUGGGGACAUCUAGUGGAAGCAAUAGGAAGUGCUCAAUGAACCAUAGCUCACGGUGUGAUUUAAUAGGCAACGUGAUGAAGUUGAGUUCGCAAUUCAGAAUUCCACUUCCUGUUUCGAUCUGUCUCGGGGUUUUGACUGCCAUAUGAGUUCUGUUAUACUCACAGACACCAUUCAAACAGUUUUAGAAACUUUAGGGUGUUUUCUAUCCAUAUGUAAUAAGUAUAUGCAUAUUCUAGUUACUGGGUAGGAGUGGUAACCAGAUUAAAUCGGGUACGUUUUUUAUCCGGCGGUGUAAAUACUGCCCCCUAGCCCU